CGCUGAAGCCACCGAACCCAGCGGCCUUCGUCUUCCUCCUCUUGGCGUUGCCUUAGCCCCCAUCUUCCUCCUCUCCGGUGCGGAUCGUCCGACUCCUACCUCCUCUCCUCCUCCCUCCUCUCCGGCGUCGACCGACCGACCCCAACCCGCUCCGCCCGAGGUAGUUUUCUUCUCCUCCCUCCUCUCCCUCCUUCUCGCUUGUUC
rnacentral:lncRNA from 1 species